AAAAUUGAUUCAACAAUAUACUCAGACAACCGGAAAUUUAUUAUUAUUUGUUCGAUUAUUCGGGACUCGUCGAUUCGAUAUUUCCCGGGUCCGUCAUGUAAUUUUCCUCGAUAUUUUCUCGGUCUGUUCGGGUGGAAAAAAAACCCAAUGAAAAAACUCCGAGAACGAAAACAAAACGCCGACCGGGGUAAACCUUUUAUUCCGCGUUCAUAUUGUUUCGCGCGGUUUGUAUUCGCGUAUUAUUUUUUCACGCUUUCGUCGUGCCUUUGUCCGCUCUUGUUGUGUUGUAUACGGCGAGUACGCUAUGGAUUUUUCUUGUCGAUGUACC